rnacentral:lncRNA from 1 species
UAAAAGUAUUUUAAGGAUUUAAAGUUAUGGAGCAUGCAAAACAAAGAUACGACAUGAAUAAUGCAAUAUACUUAAUUAUGAAUUGAGUAAUGAUAUAGAUCAGCAACUUCAUAUCAUGUGAUGAAUUAUAACUCCAUAGUGGAUGAUGCAACAAUAGUUUGCUUUAUGCUUCUAUAAGAUACAACACCUUCAGCAAGAAGAAAGAUGUCACGACCCAGAUCCGGAGCAUAAUUUGUCAUGGCCUAAAUUCUGAUAUGACACGGCUGCACUACCGAUGGGUACAAUCCAUGAUAACACAAAGCCAACAUUACAUUUAACUUUCAGAUCCAUCUCAAAUAUAACAGAAUCAAUAGGAAUCCAAUUUCAUUAUUCAUUAAAUAAAAAUAAAUAUUAGUUCAGAACAUCUAAAUCCAAACAUAAAUACCAAACCCGUAGUCCUCACUAUUCAGAAAAUCACUAACUACAAUUUCAUAAUCAACUAAAGAACAAAGGUUCUGCUCUGCUAUAUAGAUCGCCUAGCUUACUAGCGCGAACUCCAAGCUUGAACCAUCCUUCAUUCCUAUCAAUCCUAUUUGUCUGGAGAAAGAAAAAUAAAAAUAGAGAUAUAUGAGCGACACAGCUCAGUAAAUAAAUCUUUCACUACCUUAUUAUAUCAAGCAUAAGUUUUUUCAUGCUAAUGAUCAUUUAAGAAAAAUAACAGAUAUCAAAAAUAAGCAUUUCAUAAUAUAAUAGACUAAAAUAAGUUAUAAGUAAUUAUGUGUGCAUAAAUCAUUCAUAUUUUAUAAACAUAGCUCCAAGUUUAUUUUGCAAAUAAAUACGUAAAUCAUUCUUCUGCCAUUUAGUCAUAUCAUAGUUUAAAACAUUGCUCAUAGAUAUUCGUGCUAUGAUCACUUUAUACUCAUGAUAGGGCCAGUGUUCGUAAUCGAUAUAGAUUCCUGCUCGUAUAUGAAGGAGAUUAGGAGCACUGCGUGACAUCCAGAAUCAUGCAUGCAUGGAGCCCAAUCAAGGGCGUGCAUGAAGCCCAACCAGGGGUGUGCAUGAAGCUAGCAUGGAGACCAAUCAGGGGCGUGUGUGAAGCCCAACCAGGAGCAUACGUGAGCCUAAUCUCGCGGCAUGCAUGAAGCCAUAUUGAGUCCAGAAUUUUGCUGCCAUGAAGUUAGAAGAGUCCUCUUUGUUUUGUUUUGUUUGUUUGACUCAUUCCAAGUCGCAAAUUAAGAUCAAAGAUUUGAAUUGUUACUAAGUCCUUUGUUGACCCAUUCCAAGUCGGAAAUUAAGAUGAAUGGGAAUUAGGGGGCAUGCGUGAACCUACCCAGGGCAUAUGCAAGCCAACUCUUAAGAGUUACGAGAGUCCUUCUGUUUUACUUUAUUUGUUUAACUCAUUCAAAGUGAGUGUUAGCAAGUUCUUGUUUGAAGGAGUUUGAUUUAUUUCAAACUUUUUAUCUCCAGCAGAUAAGAGCCGGUUAUUUUUGUUUGUUUCCAACCUCCUACUCUAUAAAAGGAGGGAUGAUGAAUAAAUCGGCAUAUUAGAGUUGAAAAUUUCUGAGU